rnacentral:rRNA from 1 species
AGCUCCAAUAGCGUAUAUUAAAGUUGCUGCAGUUAAAAAGCUCGUAGUUGCAUUUCCGAGGCAAGGGAUUAGUCCGACCUUUGGUGGGUAUUUAAUCCUCUUGCCUCGUCCUUGAGUGGUGCUUCUUGGUAUUAAGUUAUCGAGGAGAUAGCCGCUCAUCGUUUACUGUGAGAAAAUUAGAGUGUUCAAAGCAGGCUUAUGCCGUUGAAUAUAUUAGCAUGGAAUAAUAAGAUAGGACCUCGGUACUAUUUUGUUGGUUUGAGAACCAAGGUAAUGAUGAAUAGGGACAGUUGGGAGUAUUCGUAUUCAGUUGUCAGAGGUGAAAUUCUUAGAUUUACGGAAGACGAACUACUGCGAAAGCAUUUACCAAGGAUGUCUUCA